UACAGAGGGUGCUAGCGUUAAUCGGAUUUACUGGGCGUAAAGCGUGCGUAGGCGGUUUGAUAAGUCGAUUGUGAAAGCCCCGGGCUUAACCUGGGAAUUGCGGUCGAUACUGUCAGACUCGAAAACGGUAGAGGGAGGCGGAACUCCAGGUGUAGCGGUGAAAUGCGUAGAUAUCUGGAAGAACACCGAUGGCGAAGGCAACCUCCUGGGCCUGUUUUGACGCUGAGGCACGAAAGCGUGGGUAGCAAACAGGAUUAGAUACCCUGGUAGUCCACGCCGUAAACGAUGAGAACUUGACGUUGGUUUGCUUAGCAAAUCGGUGUCGUAGCUAACGCGAUAAGUUCUCCGCCUGGGGAGUACGGCCGCAAGGUUGAA
rnacentral:rRNA from 1 species